rnacentral:rRNA from 1 species
GAUGAACGCUGGCGGCGUGCCUAAUACAUGCAAGUCGAGCGAACAGAUGAGGAGCUUGCUCCUCUGACGUUAGCGGCGGACGGGUGAGUAACACGUGGAUAACCUACCUAUAAGACUGGGAUAACUUCGGGAAACCGGAGCUAAUACCGGAUAAUAUAUUGAACCGCAUGGUUCAAUAGUGAAAGACGGUUUUGCUGUCACUUAUAGAUGGAUCCGCGCCGCAUUAGCUAGUUGGUAAGGUAACGGCUUACCAAGGCAACGAUGCGUAGCCGACCUGAGAGGGGGAUAGGCCACACGGGAACUGAGACACGGUCAAGACUCCUACGGGAGGCAGCAGAAGGGAAUCUGCCGCAAUGGGCGAAAGCAUGACGGAGCAACGCCGCGUGAGUGAUGAAGGUCUUCGGAUCGUAAAACUCUGUUAUUAGGGAAGAACAAAUGUGUAAGUAACUAUGCACGUCUUGACGGUACCUAAUGAGAAAGCCACGGCUAACUACGUG